rnacentral:lncRNA from 1 species
UUCGGCUUUUGGCAAAUUCAAAUCUCAGGAUAAGCUUGCUGUGGAGAUGGACAAAAUAUAUGCCAAGAUCCAAAACCUCUCUAUCCACCGGCCAACAGCAGUCAACCCACAAGGUCAAAGUAGGAACCCAAAGUCUACCUUGGGUUCUACCGCCCGAAUCCCACGACAGCCAACAACGCAAGAACCUGAUCUCGCCAGCUUUGGUGAUGAUGUUCAUGCAAUGAUAGCACGGUUGCUUACAGAUGAUGAGAGUUUCACAGUGAUUCCAAUUAUGGGUAUGCAAGGCAUUGGAAAGACAACCCUAGCAAAUUUGAUCUUCAACCAUAAAGCUGUUGUGGAUCAUUUCCCCAUUGCUCUUAGGAAGUCAGAUGGCUGUCGAGUUCAGCUUCGUAACAAGGAAGAAUUGAUGGAGUCCGAUCUAAGUCAAUUGGGAGAUGUGUGGAGUUAUGAUGACGAGAUGCAACGGCUGAAAGCUUUCUUGAUUAAUAACAGGUCUCUCACAGUUCUAGAUGAUUCGCAUCUCUUGUACGACAUGCUAGAAGUGCUUCCAGAUACAUUAAAUGGCAGUAGAAUGAUUUUGACUACUUGCGAAACAAUCCUACCUCCAAAUCUCAAAAUGAAGAGUGAUCCUCACCCACUGCGGUUACGGACAGAUGAGGAGAGUUGGGCAUUGUUUACCCAUGCCUUGAAAUUUAGCAUACCCCCAGAAUUGCUAAAGCUGAAAGACGAAAUUGCAAAAAGAUGUGGGGGGCUGCCACUGCUGAUUGUAAAAUUGGCAGAAGCACUCUCACACAAGGAUGCAACCCUUGAGGAGUGGUCCACUGCACUUCAACAAUUUCAUCAUGACCAACAGCAACUUUGGCCCAGUACCCUCUACAAGAUCCAUAAGGAUUUGUCCAUGUACAUGAGGAGAUGUCUAUUUUAUUUCACUCUAUUUCCUCAAGAUUUUGAUAUUCCGGCAAGAAGAUUGAUAACAUUGUGGGUUGCAGAGGACUUGGUACAGCCAGAGGGCGAGAAUGAAACUCCAGAAGAUGUUGCAGAAAGGUGUUUGAAUUUGUUGAUAGCCCAGGGAAUGGUUCAAGUGACAAAGAAGAAGCUUAAUGGGAAUGUUAAAAUGGUGCGACUGCCGGAUGCCCUAAGACAAUAUUGGUCAUCCAAAGCUCAACAAGCCACAUUUCUUGGAGUUCAUACUAACACAAGAUCUGAGUUGUCCCUAGGCACCAAUAAGAUCCGUCGUCUGGUUGAUCAUCUUGAUAAAGAAGAUAUUAGCUUUGAUCAUAUUCAUGGUAAUCACAACACAACUUCUAGUACUUCUUUGACACCUUACUACAAAGAUGCACUUUCUUUUCUGUCCUUUGAUACUAGAAAAGAAAGCAAACCAGGAGAAGAAGUGGGAAACUUUCUUCAUCAAAGCAUAUCCAGUGGUUGCUUCCUAGUACUGCUCGUGCUUGAUCUCGAAAAUGUAUUCAGACCAAAGUUACCUGAGGCAAUUGGCAAACUAACUCGACUAAGGUACCUUGGCUUAAGAUCUACAUUCCUCAAGAUACUUCCAUCAUCUAUAAGCAAGUUGCAGAAUGUUCAAACACUGGACAUGAAGCAUACUUGCAUCAACACUCUUCCUUGUUCAAUCUGGAAGCUACAACAAUUGCGACACUUACACUUGAGUGAGAGUUGUCGAAGUAAACUUAUGCUUCGACAUGAUACAAAUUUUCCUACAAUCCUCCAAACAUUGUGUGGGCUUCUUGUAGAUGAGAAGACUCCCGUAAGAGAUGGCCUAGACAGGUUACUCGAUAUUAGGAAAUUGGGAUUGACAGUAUCAUCUAAACAAGAGGCAAUAACAUUGCAACUGCAGGCAGUAGUUGACUGGGUUCUAAAACUGAACCAACUCCGGUCUUUAAGGCUCAAAUCUAUUGAUGAAAGCAAUCAGCCAUGGGAUCUAGAGUUGAAGCCUUUAGUAAGCCUUGUGAAUCUUUCUUACAUUUACUUGCUCGGACGGUUAAAGAAUCCAUCCAUUAUGUCCCAAUUCCCAUACAGCCUCAUCGACCUCACCUUAUCAGGGUCAGGACUUGUAGAAGAUCCAAUGCAGUCACUGGAUAAGCUUCCCAACCUUAGAAGUCUUAAAUUGCUUGCCAAAUCUUAUUUAGGGAAGAACAUGCUUUGCUCUUUAGGAGGCUUUCCUCAGCUUCGAGUUCUUAAACUAUGGAAGUUAGAGCAACUGGAGGAAUGGAAUGUAGAGAAAGGAGCACUACAAGCUCUUCGAGAUUUGGAGAUUAGGUUCUGCAGAAGCCUGAAAAUUCUUCCUGCAGAAUUGCUGCAUAGAACUCUCUUGAAAAUUGAAAUUAUAUCUGCCCAGUAAGUUGACUACUUCAUCUCUUGAAAUUUGGUUUAUAACCUACUUUAACAUGAGAUGAUUGUUUUGUUUAACAAACAACCUGAUAUGCCAUUGUGUUUUCUUUCUUUCUUUUUUUUUUUGUUUGAUUAGGGUGUGAGAAGGUAAGCGAGAAGGUUCUGGUCUACUUCUUCGUGUUGGGCUUUGCUUUCCAUUUCAAUGUUUUUGCUGUUGGAGCAGAUAUUCAAAUACUCAUGAGGGCAGUUCUCAGCUGCAACAAUUUAUAGAGCUCAUUUUUUUGAAUUGGGUUUCCACCCCUUCUGCUCAUUAUUCUGUUCUACCAUUGAUGCUAUGUUCUUGUCUUUCAAACCUUAAAUGCAUAUUGUAUUGUACUUGUUAGUAGAUUCUAUAACUAGUGUUUGUGAACUGUAGAAUCAGGGCAUCAUGAACACAAUGGUGUUGUGGGUGUGAAUGUUAUAGAAUUUUGCUUUGUGAUUGUAUUUGGAUUGAAUAGAGUUUUUUUUUUCUUUCAGUUGAUGUUUGUUGGAUAGAAUUUAACCAGUCUGCUGGAAUGCACAUAGGGAGAAAAUAACUAUUCUCUUCUUGCCCAGAUGGAUGAAGGAGAGUAAGAUUAAUCCUCCACCUUUCUGUAGCUUAUUUUGUAAGUGUAUUAGGUUCAAAGUCUUCAAAUACGUUAUAUUAAUAUAUCAAAGUAAUACUCUGUUGCUCACAAGCUCAGAUCCGAGCCCACCAUGGCUUGCAUGGCCUCUUACAUGCUCUGCCCAUUCCAAUAGUUAGUCCAUUUAGUCCAAAUACAAUCUCAAAGCUUACACCCUUUCCUUUUUUUCAAUUUAGAAGAGCCUACCACUACAGAUUUGGAUAUUGGAUCGUACAAUAUAAUAAUGGAGCAAUAGUUACAACACCCAUUUGAAAUGGGAUUCAUCCACCUCCAAACCAAAGUUGCUGGUUAUUGAAGGAGAAGAACAGAGAGUUUCUCUAACAACCUCCAUCCAAUGCUUCCUGACAUAAGAUAUCUAUCUCUGUGCUGCUUCCUUAAUUUGAACCUGUUACAGUCCAUCUGCUUUUUCUUUUUCUUCUUUUGGUGUGGUCAGUGUGGGUUCUGGAAAUGAACAGCAGAGCUUUCACCCAAUUAAUACAUUUAGCUUGUGGUUUGGGUAUUUGAAACAGGGCAAUUUACAGAAUCCAAACCCAGUUGAAUGUAAAGCCAGGAAGUUGCUGCCAGACAAUAUGUUGUAUCUUCUGGUCAUGUGCCCUUUCAUGCUUCCUGCUGGUACAGGACAGAUCUGAUUUCAGGACAGAUUCGCCAAGGCCAUACAGUUUUUUAAGCACAACAAGGGCAUAGAAGGAAGAAGGCUUGCCAAAGGUUACGUACCCAUCAGUACUGAAGUUCUAACUCUGCAAGUGAAAGGAGACAAAAGCAAGCAUGUGCUAUUCGAUGCCUGUAGGCUUGCUAAGUCCCUACAACUCCUGGGGACAUAUGAGAAAUGGAGUCCAGAACAGAAAGGGCAUAUGAUAUGUGAUGUGUGGGUGGAGAUGCUGUGUUAUGCUGCAAGUCAGUGUCGAUGGAAUCUCCAUGCCAACUUGCCAAGCAGUUGAGACGAGGGGGAGAGCUGCUCACCCAUGUAUGGCUUCUGAUGGCUCCUUUUGUUAUAAGUGAACAUUUCAAGAUUUUACAAGCCCAUGACAACUGAUGAGAAUUUUUUCAAAUAUUAUUUUAAAAAAGGUUUUUUUUAAAAAAAAAGCAAAAAAAGAAAACAUAAAAAUAUACAUUUUAUUAGCCAUUUUGUUUUUACAUUGAACUUAUACUUUGAAAAGACAAGUUAAUUUUUUACAUUGAAUCUGGUCUUUUCAAAUGACAGUUCCAUGUUAAAUCCUAAAUUAAUUACUCUGACUAAAAUUGUACUAUCAAGUUUUACAAUGAAUACCUUUAUAAAUAUGCAUUAUCGAUCAACUUAAUAAAUUAACAAUUUUAAAUAAAUUCAUAUUUUUAAUAUGAUAUUGAAACUUAGUGAUGGUAUAUCCCUCUAAUUUUAUUAAAUUUAUGUAUAAUCUCAAAUGAAGUAUCAGUAAAGCCUAGUAUUAGGGUUUUAACAUAGGUUAAGAACAGACUGAGUGAUGGUGUAUCUAUUCCCUUGUUUAGCCAACCUUACUUUUUAUUACGCUUUAAUAUCUUAGCAUUGUAGUGUAGCAAAUACUAAUGAAAUUCAAAUACAGAAAAAUAUUUCAAAUUCAAUUGGAAUAUUUAAAAAAGACAGUAUUUUGUCAAAAUUCCAGCUUUCUAGGCCUAUCCCCUUGUCCAUUGGCCUUAUCCUUCAAUUAUUAUUAUUAUUUUUUCACAUGGAUUUACAACCUUAGGUGGUAGUGCUACAAAGCUUUCCAAAGGCAUCAAAUGUACAAUCUUAUCUUCUAUUGUCAAGCUGAUUAGAAACACAUCAGCUGAAGUAUAGCUGCUUAAUUAUGGUCUGAACUGAUUUUCUCGAGGAUAUGUACAAGUUGGGUUCUACAUUCCCCAAAGAUCUCUGUUUUGCAUGAGCUUGAAAAUUGAACACUCUUGUUCUUUAAAAAAUGAUUUAUUUAGUUUUGAAAUUUAUAUCCUCCUUUAUUUCCUUCAAAAAUGUUGUUUCUCUCCCAUUCCUAAUCCAUCUCUCUCUCUCUCUCUCUCUCUCUCUCUCUCUCUCUCUCUCUCUCUCUCUCUCUCUCUCUCUCUCUCUCUCUCUCUCUCUCUCUCUCUCUCUCUCUCUCUCUCUCUCUCUCUCUCUCUCUCUCUCAGUUCAUGUUCUCUCUCCCUUCUCAAUCCAACCCCUACAACAAAAAUGUCAAAUUCCUUAUUUUUAUAUCUUCUUCAAGAGAUAAAAAUUUUGAUAAUGAAAUUUCAUGGAUAAAAACUCUCAUCCCUCACAUAUUUCACAAAUAAUUUGGUUGUUGGAAAUAUUUAAUUUUUAUGCUAAAUUUCUUCCUUUUUUUUGUUGCAUCUUCUACUUUUUCUAUUUAUAAAUUUCUUGUAUUACAUAGUUUACUAUUUGAGUUUCAAAUUAUUUUUAAAACCUAUUAAACUCGUUAAUGAAUCAAACACAUUAAAACUUUUUAUUUGGAGUUUUUUUGCCUUAGUAAAAAGAAAUUUACAAAAAUAUCUUUAUACAUAAGGAAAAAACUAACAAAAUACCUUUAGGAUCCAUGACUUUCUAAUACUAACUGAAUUAGUUUGUUAGUUUAAUAAAUGUUAUGUAUCAAAUAUCACUAGAUUUGAAAUUUAUUUGUUUAAUCAAAAUAAUUUAAAGAUUCAAGUUAUAAGAAGUUCACAAAUCAUGUAAAUUUAAGAAAAUAAAUCAUCAUUGAAAAUUUUUUAUAUUUGUUGAUGGAGAGAGAAUAAAUAUAAAAUGAAAUCAUGUCAUAAUUUAUUUGUUUUUGUGAUUCUUUUCAUGCUAUUUUUCAUUUCUCAUAUUUUUCUUUAAAAAAAAAAGGUAAAAAUAACUUUUAUUUAAUCUCUCAAAUUGUUCUUUAUUUCACUUUAUUUUAAAAAAAUUACUUUUAAAGAACAACUUCCAAACGACUCAUACAUUGUUAACAACAAAAAAUUGUUUUUAAAUCAUAUCAUCAACCGAGCUAUUAUAUGUUCCCUUUUUUUUUCUUGUACUUCACCUUCUUAAUUUGAUUAUGGUUAUAUUUAAAUUGAAUCAAAAUAUGCAAUAAAUAAAAUAUAAGAGCAUUAAACAAAGUAAAAUGAUCAAAUGAUGAAAAUAAAAUUAAGAAAAAGGAAAACCAAAAAUAAAAAUAAAAUAAUAAUGGUAAUAAUAAAAAAAAAUGUAUAUGCACAAAAACAAAAUUAGAAGUCUACAUUCUCCUCCAGUCAACCCAUGAAAAAACACACAAUGCAAGGAUCAAGGAUCUAUUGCUACAUCAAUAUUAACUAAUUGUUAAUAAAUGAAAAUUGAUAACCAUCAAACCAUGAUAAAAUUAACUUAUACCUUUAUAUACAUCAUCAAUCCACCUAAUAAAUUAACAAUUUUAAAUAAACUGACAUUUUUAGUAUGAGAUUCAAAUAUAUAAAAAUAUUUCAACUUCAAUUAGAAUAUUUUUAAAAAAUAAUAAUAAAAAUUAAAAAAUUAAAAAAAAAAAAAAACACCUUCUCCAUAUAAUUGUACAUAGCUCUAGUAUCUAAUGUUUACCUCUUCAACAAGGUGUUUUGAGUUUUAUACAGAGGAUUACAUAUACUGCACCAGCUUCUUUAAUGUCCAAGAAACUCACUACCCAUUUCCCACCUUCUCUCUCUCAUGUGGAAACAAAGCCUUUCGACAUUGAAGACAUUUGUUUAUUUAAGUUGACUCCCUUGUGUUACAAGUCUUUCAAAAAGAACUAGCCUACCAGUGUUCCUCUUAGAAAAAUGGUGGAAGCAGUCCAUUGUCUCUCACAGACAAAAAGAAAAAGAAAAAGAAACUGAUGGUAUUGGGUGAUCAAUAUGUGGUGGUCACUGUAAGUUGGCUUUCAGAGGAAAAUACAUAUAUAAAAAGAGAGGAAAGGAGAAAAGACGUCAAGGGGGAAUGUUCAUAGAAAGAGAAGAUGAAGGUGGUGAGUAUGAAUUGGGUUGGAAAUUAAAAAUAAAAAUGAGUAUUUAAAGUGAAUAGGAAGGACAAAAUGAUCAGGGAAAGACUUAGUUUUACUUGUUAGUUCCCAGAUUUCCUUGCAAUUGUGAGUUUGUUACUAAGGCCGCCUCCACUCAGUCCUUUGCUGUUCGCGGCCGGCUUCAUCUUGGCAGUAUGAAAUGGCUAUUGAGUUUCGUUGGGGGCAUGGUCGCCUACAGCUUCCUGUAAGAACAAUUAAAAUUUGAUCAAGUCUGCAAUAUCAUCUCCCCUUUUGUGAUCCUCCUAAUAUGACUGAUUAUUAAAUAUUUAUGCGUUAAUAAUUAUUUCGGGAGUUGUUUACUUUUAUUCAUCAUCCUCCAGCAUUAUAUUGAUAUUUUGCCCGAGUUUUUUCUUCUUCUUUUUUUCCUUUGUUUAGUUUAUAUGUUCUUGUUCGGAUUGAAAAGAAAAAUCCACACGUCGUGAUAAUUAUUAAGAUAUGUUUAAUUAAGAUUUGUGUGAAAGCCUUUCUGUUCCGUUGCCCGCAGAAAAAUGCUGCAUGAAUACUCUAGUAGGAAGGAAAGGGAGGAGGCGUGGAGGAUGAUGGCAAAGGGUAGAAAUGAAGAAGCUAAGGAGAUGAGGCAUAGAAACUCUACGAUGAAGAUGAACGACAAACCAGCCAGGAACACUAUAGAUUGGGCGGAGGUAGAUGACACAGAAGAUUUGGUGAAGAUAGUCUUGUCGAGGAUCAUAGAGAAACUCUGUGUUGUGUGUAUUCAAGAACCAGCAGUUUUCGUUGGAGUCGAAGAAGAGGUCCAAUGGAUCCAAAGAGAGUUGAUGGACUCUCGGGUAAAAUAUAGUUAUGCGCCAGAGCAAUUAAUGGAUGUUGCCUAUGAUUUUGAAGAUGUGAUUGAUGACCUUAUACUCAGAUCAGCCGCAAAUCAAAGGAGAAUAGGAAACUGGGAGAGGUGCCUUUUGGUAAUAAGAAUUCACAAGAAGCUGGAAUUGAUCAAGUCUAAGAUCCCUGAUCUUCCUCGUCUCCCAUAUAUCGAAGCAAAAGCUGCCUGCCCCUUUAACUACAGUAUUGAAGAAAUAGUCUGGUCAGACAUCUUCUUGAUACAUGGUCAGAGUGUGGCAAACACGGUUGUUUCCCCAGUGGAAGAGAAGGUAUCAGCUCUGCUAGCUCAGGAGGCAAUUCAUCCCUAUACCAAGAAGAAGGCCAUGCGGGUACUAGACAAACUCAGGUCUCUGAAUGGUUUUCUCAAAGGCUUAGAAUCAGUAGAAUUAGAUGAUGGUGGAAUGGUUUGGAUGGAGGAGCUGUCCCAUGUUUGCCUGUCUGCUGUGGUAGCCAUUGAGGACUUCAUCAACAGAACACAACAGCUCACGAAAAGAAGUUGGAUGGGACCUUGCAAGGGAUUUCUUUCGGCUUUUGGCAAAUUCAAAUCUCAGGAUAAGCUUGCUGUGGAGAUGGACAAAAUAUAUGCCAAGAUCCAAAACCUCUCUAUCCACCGGCCAACAGCAGUCAACCCACAAGGUCAACGUAGGAACCUAAAGUAUACCUUGGGUUCCGCCGAGCGAAUCCCACGGCAGCCAACAACGCAAGAACCUGAUCUCGCCAGCUUUGGUGAUGAUGUGCAUGCAAUGAUAGCACGGUUGCUUACAGAUGAUCAGAAUUUCAGAGUGAUUCCAAUUAUGGGUAUGCAAGGCAUUGGAAAGACAAC